ACCGGCAAACGGCCUCUGAAACUGCUGGUCUUGAGUCCGGGAGAGGUAGGUGGAAUUCCAGGUGUAGCGGUGAAAUGCGUAAAUAUCUGGAGGAACACCGGUGGCGAAGGCGGCCUACUGGCCCGGAACUGACGCUCAGGCACGAAAGCAUGGGGAGCGAACGGGAUUAGAUACCCCGGUAGUCCAUGCCGUAAACGAUGGGUACUAGGUGUUGGAGGAUUCUACCCCUUCAGUGCCGCAGCUAACGCAUUAAGUACCCCACCUGGGGAGUACGAUCGCAAGGUUGAAACUCAAAGGAAUUGACGGGGGCCCGCACAAGCGGUGGAGCAUGUGGUUUAAUUCGAUGCAACGCGAAGAACCUUACCUGGACUUGACAUGCAGGGGACAGAUGUAGAAAUACAUCCUUCUUCGGACUCCUGUACAGGUGCUGCAUGGCUGUCGUCAGCUCGUGUCGUGAAAUGUUAGGUUAAGUCCUGCAACGAGCGCAACCCCUGUCUUUAGUUGCCAACACGUAAUGGUGGGAACUCUAGAGAGACUGCCGGUGAUAAACCGGAGGAAAGUGGGGACGACGUCAAGUCAUCAUGGCCCUUACGUCCAGGGCUACACACGUGCUACAAUGGUCGGUACAAUGGGCUGCAAUACAGUGAUGUGGAGCGAAUCCCAAAAAGCCGGCCUCAGUUCGGAUCGUAGUCUGCAACUCGACUACGUGAAGUUGGAAUCGCUAGUAAUCGCGUAUCAGAACGACGCGGUGAAUACGUUCCCGGGCCUUGUACACACCGCCCGUCAAGUCAACCGAGUUGGCUGCACCCCAAGUCGCUGAGCUAACCUCUUCGGAGGAGGCAAGUGC
rnacentral:rRNA from 1 species